UUCGCAAUGCCCGAAAGGGUGACGAAGCGACGCCGCGUGGGUGAGGAAGGCCCUCGGGUUGUAAAGCCCUGUCAGGAGUUAAGAAAUGUAGAUACGCUAAUAUCGUAUCUAUUUGACAAAGGCUCCAAAGGAAGCCACGGCUAACUCUGUGCCAGCAGCCGCGGUAAUACAGAGGUGGCAAGCGUUGUUCGGAAUUAUUGGGCGUAAAGAGCACGUAGGUGGGUUUGUAAGUCAGAUGUGAAAGCCUUCUGUUCAACGGAAGAAUUGCAUCUGAAACUGCAAAUCUUGAGUAUAGGAGGGGAGAAUGGAACUUCUGGUGGAGCGGUGAAAUGCGUAGAUAUCAGAAGGAACGUCGGCGGCGAAAGCGACUCUCUGGCCUAUUACUGACACUCAGUGUGCGAAAGCUAGGGGAGCAAACGGGAUUAGAUACCCCGGUAGUCCUAGCCGUAAACGAUGGGCACUAAGUAGAGGGGUUUU
rnacentral:rRNA from 1 species